rnacentral:rRNA from 1 species
UGCGUAGGUGGCCUUUUAAGUUGGAUGUGAAAUACCCGGGCUUAACUUGGGGGUGCAUCUAAUACUGGAGGGCUAGAGUGCAGGAGAGGAAAGCGGAAUUCCUAGUGUAGCGGUGAAAUGCGUAGAUAUUAGGAGGAACACCAGUGGCGAAGGCGGCUUUCUGGACUGUAACUGACACUGAGGCACGAAAGACGUGGGGAGGCAAAACA